GGAAAAGCUUGGGGCGGCGUGCUUAACACAUGCAAGUCGAACGGAAAGGCCCUGCUUGCAGGGUACUCGAGUGGCGAACGGGUGAGUAACACGUGGGUGAUCUGCCCUGCACUUCGGGAUAAGCCUGGGAAACUGGGUCUAAUACCGGAUAGGAGCCAUUUUUAGUGUGAUGGUUGGAAAGUUUUUUCGGUGUAGGAUGAGCUCGCGGCCUAUCAGCUUGUUGGUGGGGUAAUGGCCUACCAAGGCGGCGACGGGUAGCCGGCCUGAGAGGGUGGACGGCCACAUUGGGGCUGAGAUACGGCCCAGACUCCUACGGGAGGCAGCAGUGGGGAAUAUUGCACAAUGGGCGCAAGCCUGAUGCAGCGACGCCGCGUGGGGGAUGACGGCCUUCGGGUUGUAAACUCCUUUCGCUAGGGACGAAGCUUUUGUGACGGUACCUAGAUAAGAAGCACCGGCUAACUACGUGCCAGCAGCCGCGGUAAUACGUAGGGUGCGAGCGUUGUCCGGAAUUACUGGGCGUAAAGGGCUCGUAGGUGGUUUGUCGCGUCGUCUGUGAAAUUCCGGGGCUUAACUCCGGGCGUGCAGGCGAUACGGGCAUAACUUGAGUACUGUAGGGGUAACUGGAAUUCCUGGUGUAGCGGUGAAAUGCGCAGAUAUCAGGAGGAACACCGAUGGCGAAGGCAGGUUACUGGGCAGUUACUGACGCUGAGGAGCGAAAGCAUGGGUAGCGAACAGGAUUAGAUACCCUGGUAGUCCAUGCCGUAAACGGUGGGCGCUAGGUGUGAGGGUCUUUUCACGACUUUCGUGCCGUAGCUAACGCAUUAUGCGCCCCGCCUGGGGAGUACGGCCGCAAGGCUAAACUCAAUGAAUUGACGGAAGGGC
rnacentral:rRNA from 1 species